rfam:Hordeum vulgare subsp. vulgare, WGS project CAJW01000000 data, contig: morex_contig_136167
UAAAUACUCCCUCCGUCUUAAACAUUUUGUCUUAGUUUUGUUUAAAAAUGGAUGUAUCAAAAUACUAAAAUGUAACUAGAUACAUUCGUAUCUAGACAAAUCAAAGACAAGAAUUUUGGAACGAAGGAAGUACAGU